AGCCUUUAGCCAAACAAGUAUUAAAGGUCCUGCCUGCCCAGUGAUUUUUUCAACGGCCGCGGUAUUCUAACCGUGCAAAGGUAGCGUAAUCACUUGUCUUUUAAAUAAAGACCUGUAUGAACGGCUAAAUGAGGAUAAACCUGUCUCAUAUAACUAAUCAGUGAAACUGAUCUUCCAGUACAAAAGCUGGAAUAACCACAUAAGACGAGAAGACCCUGUGGAGCUUAAAACAACCACUAAACAACCACCCAAUUGACUUAGUGCUCGUUUUCAGUUGGGGCGACUUCGGAAUAAAAAACAACUUCCGAGCACAGAGCCACAACCUCUUACCGAGGCCAACAAGCCAAAGCAUUAAAACCGACCCGGCCUAGCCGAUCAACGAACCAAGUUACCCCAGGGAUAACAGCGCAAUCUUCUUCGAGAGCCCCUAUCAACAAGAAGGUUUACGACCUCGAUGUUGGAUCAGGACACCCAAAUGGUGCAGCCGCUAUUAACGGUUCGUUUGUUCAACGAUUAACAGUCCUACGUGAUC
rnacentral:rRNA from 1 species